CAUCAAAGACAUGGAAUUUGAGUAGAUCUUAAAUGGUGUUAGAUUUAAUUGUUAUUUGCAACUUUCUUCAUCUGAAUUUCAGUGGGUAGAGGAGAAAACAAUAGGUCGCAUACCAGCCAGCAGUGUUACGUCUAUUUCUAUCCAACUUUUAAGGAAAGGUGGACCUGAUGCUGUUUGCAUGCAUCUUUGUUCUUUGCAAAAGGUACAAAUAAUAUAUCUCUAUGUGAAGUAUUAUUUUGUUGACUUAUUUGCAUGCCUUUAUACAUGUCAAACUGUAUAUAAAAGCAGAUAUGUUGAAUUCCUUUUCCAUAUUUGGCAUUUUUUUAUGCUUAUGAGAAUUCUGUGGAACCCUGCUUUGAGGUUGUGUAAUUCAUGGAUUGAGUUAUUAUUUCUACCUAGAUGCCUUAAUGUUGUUGGUGAAAAAAUGCUACUUCAAUUUAUUUUUUUCCCUUUUUUUCUCUCAAGAUAAGAUGGGAAACCAUGCCUUUAUUAUAUUAGAUAAAAGGAAAAGUUUUGCACAAAAAAAAAAAAAAUGAAGUAAAAACCUUUGGCUUCCCAUUUCAAAGGGAAUGAACUACCAAAACUAAAGUGGUUAUAAGGUCUCCAACGAAGUAAAUAAUUUAUGAGCCUUCUCUUUUGGCCAAUCCAUUAGCUUUCUGGUUUGCCAAUCUAGACUACCAUGAUAAAGAGCAACUUAGCUACCUAAGGUGGACAAUCCUCUGCAGCCAAUGGGUAGAUAUCCAUUAUCCUUUCUGGCCACUAGUCAUCAUAAAGACAACUGUUGCUGAGUCCCCCUCUACGAGGGUAUAUAUCCAUGGCUCUUUUCUUGCCUCUUUGAGUCCUCAAAGCAAUAAUUGGCAUUGUUUUCAGCUACCUUCAGGUCUACACAUCUUGGACUAGAAUUGAGAUAAUCAUUAAACGGAUCAAAUGCAAUGGAAUCUCCAAUGGAUCAAAUAUGAUUUUGACCUUAGAAAGCACAGAGUGUGAACCUCACCCAACUGUUUGUAAAUAAUCGUCUAUGAGUUUUCCUUUUGUUGGAAGGCAGAAAUACUAUUGAAGCACUAAAACAUAGUCACAUAUAAAAGCAUACAAGAAAUGAUAGCAGAUCCGAAGAAGAAGAAGAAAGAAAGAAAAGGGGAUUGGGGGAAAUGUCAUGGUCUGUGCUGGAUUGGUGCUUAGGGGAAGACUAAGUCCGUGACGCUAAGUUCAAAGUAUUUGCAUGGUUUGGAGUCCUAAAAGAUGGCCAACACUAAUCCUUACAUGGUUAUCUGCUGUGUAAGGAGAUGGAAAAUUAAUGACCUUCUAUUUCUUCUUUGUCCUGUUUGGUUUCCUUAGGCAACCCCUGAGAGCAUCUCUAGUUGUUAGUUACUUCUUUUGACAACUUUGGCAUGGGGAAGGCAUAUAGUUUUUUUUUGCCAUGAACUCUAAUUGCUCUAAAUCUAAGGAGUGGGUGUCAUCAGAGAGCAAAGUGGGUGGUGGGUUUAUGCAUGUUGUCCUCGAAGGCUCUCUCACUAGUUAAGGAGCAUUCCUUGUUGAGGGACACCAUCUCCUUGUUGGUUCAAUUGUUUAGCCUGUUGUGCAAAGGCAUUUCUCCAUUGUGUUAUUUUCUAUGAUAUUUUUAGAUGCACUUCCAGAAGUUAUUUAAUUUGAAACAUUACUAAGGCUGUGGUUUGUUGGAUGAAUCAGGGUUCAACAUGUAUAGUUAAUGCAGCUAGUGAAAGAGACAUGGCUGUAUUUGCAGCUGGAAUGAU
rnacentral:lncRNA from 1 species